AGAGUUUGAUCAUGGCUCAGAUUGAACGCUGGCGGCAGGCCUAACACAUGCAAGUCGAGCGGUAGAGAGAAGCUUGCUUCUCUUGAGAGCGGCGGACGGGUGAGUAAUGCCUAGGAAUCUGCCUGGUAGUGGGGGAUAACGUUCGGAAACGGACGCUAAUACCGCAUACGUCCUACGGGAGAAAGCAGGGGACCUUCGGGCCUUGCGCUAUCAGAUGAGCCUAGGUCGGAUUAGCUAGUUGGUGAGGUAAUGGCUCACCAAGGCGACGAUCCGUAACUGGUCUGAGAGGAUGAUCAGUCACACUGGAACUGAGACACGGUCCAGACUCCUACGGGAGGCAGCAGUGGGGAAUAUUGGACAAUGGGCGAAAGCCUGAUCCAGCCAUGCCGCGUGUGUGAAGAAGGUCUUCGGAUUGUAAAGCACUUUAAGUUGGGAGGAAGGGCAGUUACCUAAUACGUGAUUGUUUUGACGUUACCGACAGAAUAAGCACCGGCUAACUCUGUGCCAGCAGCCGCGGUAAUACAGAGGGUGCAAGCGUUAAUCGGAAUUACUGGGCGUAAAGCGCGCGUAGGUGGUUAGUUAAGUUGGAUGUGAAAUCCCCGGGCUCAACCUGGGAACUGCAUUCAAAACUGACUGACUAGAGUAUGGUAGAGGGUGGUGGAAUUUCCUGUGUAGCGGUGAAAUGCGUAGAUAUAGGAAGGAACACCAGUGGCGAAAGCGACCACCUGGACUGAUACUGACACUGAGGUGCGAAAGCGUGGGGAGCAAACAGGAUUAGAUACCCUGUAGUCCACGCCGUAACGAUGUCAACUAGCCGUUGGGAGCCUUGAGCUCUUAGUG
rnacentral:rRNA from 1 species